rfam:Myotis lucifugus cont2.30563, whole genome shotgun sequence.
GGCGGUUCUCGGGUGAUGCACCGAGAAUUGGGCUCCCUCCUCUCUGGUGCCAGGGUGCGUCACCCAAGAACCGCA